rnacentral:rRNA from 1 species
UCUCUGGUCGGGGAGUGGAGCUACCGGCAGGAAUGCGUCGGAAUCUACUCUUUCGUGCGGGAUAACGUAGGGAAACUUACGCUAAUACCGCAUACGACCUACGGGUGAAAGCCAUUACCCUUCAUUCCUGGUUCAUGUGAAUGAGCCGAUGCCUCCUUAGCUAGUUGGCGGGGUAAGAGCGCACCAGGGUUACCAUCGGCAGCUGGUCUGACACGGUGAUCACCCAUACUGGAACUGAGACACGGUCCAGACUCCUACGGGAGGCAGCUUGUGGGGAAUAUUGGACAAUGGGCGCAAGCCUGAUCCAGCCAUACUUAGAGUUCCCAAGAAGGCCUUCGGGUUGUAAAGGCCUUUUGUUGCGAAAGAAUGCCAGACUUAUACUACCUGCUUGUUCUGACGGCUCCCAAAGAAUAUGCACCGGCUGUCUUCGCGCCCCCAGCGGCGCUAAUACAUCUCUGGCAAGCUCUCGUCAUGUCUACUGCAGGUAAAGCGUGCCGCGGUGGUUCGUUUAAGUCUGUCG